CAGGUCCCCAGGUGAGGUGGCUGCGGUCACCUAGCUCCUGGACACCCCCCCCCCCCCCCCCCCCCCGUCACCUCUGUGUCUGGUUCCCUGCCAGGCUGGGCCCGGCGUUGUGGCUGAGGUCUGGGUUAACAGCCGUGGGCUGAGCGGGCCUCCCUCCUCAGGUAUGCAAUGAGCAGCCCCAAGAACAAUACCCUCAUUUUAAUCAUUGCAGCUCGGAGCCGCCUGGCAAUUUGCUGCUGCUUUUACUGCACUAACAAGCUCUGGCUUGGGAACAGGGGGUGGAGGGUUCUCCUUCCAGCCCGGCAUUCUCAGACACCUGCUCAGGGGGCUGUGGGAGAGCAGGAGAGAUGCCUAGCACCGCCUAGGACAAUCUGGGGAGUCUUCCUGGGGGUGGUGGCUGCUGGCUAUCCAGUGGCAGGAUCCAGAAAGGGGCUGGCAUCUGGCCCGGUGCUGGUGAUACCUUGGGAGACAGACAGGUGGACUCCACCCAGGCCCUUGCGGGGCUCACAGGGCGCUCGGAGGGUAAAUGCGGUAGUGGACAAGAGGGGCCCCAGCUCAGCUGGGGUGGGGCAGGGGGGCCAGAGCAGGCUUCCCGGGAAGAGAUGACAUCUUCAUUGAGCCCUGAAGGUCACUCUUUGAACCUGGCCGUCAUGCUGUGAGGAAGCCCAAACCAGUCCGCGGGGAGAGACGAUGCGUAGGUGUCCAGCCCCCAGCAUUGCCAAGGUCCUGCUGACAGCCAGCAUCGACAGCCAGACGCGUGAGCAAAGACUCCUCCAGACGGUUCCCAGCUCCACCCAUCAAGUCUCCCCAGCCUUCAAGUUUUCCCAGCCGAGGCCCCAAACAUCACGGAGAGGAAUGAAGCCAUUCCCAAUGUGCCCAGUCUGUUCCUGGCCCAGAGGCUCUGAGCCUAAUAAAGCGGUUGUGUUAUGCCCCUA